AUUUGCAGCUGUGGAUUGGUGAGGCCAUGGGUCAAGUACAGAGAUGCUAUGAUUUGUUGGGGCGGAAAUAAGAAGGAAAAGCUAUGAAGCUCAGCAAAAGAUGAAGAAUAACAGAGGAAUAUUGCAAAAUAUGGAUGAGAUUUUGGACCUGUUUUAUCCCAGAAUAGGAACAGCAUUAGUCUCUUUUGCUGAAUUCUCUCUGAAGACACUCAAUGAAUCGGAAAUGAGUUUGGGUAUCGAUCCAGAUGAGAAAAUAUUGGCGAUUAAUAAAGUUGUUUGGGAUUUGCAGCUGUGGAUUGGUGAGGCCAUGGGUCAAGUACAGAGAUGCUAUGAUUUGUUGGGGCGGAAAUAAGAAGGAAAAGCUAUGAAGCUCAGCAAAAGAUGAAGAAUAACAGAGGAAUAUUGCAAAAUAUGGAUGAGAUUUUGGACCUGUUUUAUCCCAGAAUAGGAACAGCAUUAGUCUCUUUUGCUUGGGAAUAUGACUAUGGGCGAACUGUUUGGCUCUUUUGCU
rnacentral:lncRNA from 1 species